CCAGGGUCCCCUCUGUCUUUGGCUUCUUCUCUUGGCCUCUUCCUCCCCCCACCCCACCCCCCUCCUUUAGGCAGGGCGAUCACGGACUAACUCGCUUUUUGCUCGGACGAACCUCACCUCUAGCAAAACUCUACCACUUAUCUAUCACUUUAUGACAUCUUUUCCCCUUGCCCCUUACCGCACCCCCGCUUCGCAUCCCAAAUAGCAGCCGCCGCGUCGGAGAGGACCCAGCCCCUCCUCCUCCCCCUUCGACGUAACCCCCUCCCCCAACUGGGCGAAUGAUGCUGCCUCUGGAGCCGCCGCCGCCGGUUCCGAGCCUCCGUCGUCGCCGACCCCAGUGCCCGCGCGCACACCAUUUGUCAACUGCUUUUAGACAUUGCAGCAGCCCCCAGCACACGCCACGGUGCCAGACCCCAAAGCUCUUGCUGCCCUCCUUGGCACUUGCCUCAGCUUUGGUUUGACGACUUGACCUGCUUUGACCGGCUCCUGGUGACCUUGGCAGAAAAUGUCUAUGCCAAACGGUCCGUCACUUACGGAUUUACAGUCCAUCAGCAUCCUUGUGAGCCAACUUGCUAGUCAAAGAAAAUGCAUCUCAAUUUGGGAAGAAUUCACACAGGAAUGUCAUAUACAUGGAACGGCAUACUACAUAACCUUUUGCGACUGCCUUAGUCACCCUAGCACGAUGUUUUGGAGAGUCGCUGUGUUGUUGCUGCACCAGUGGACUGUUCCUUUGGCUCUCGAGCAGGACUCUGUGGUAUGGGGGCUCCAGUUUGCUUGUUGUGAAUGAGGUUUCAGAAGCCUGCCCAGAGAGGGCAAGAGACUGCCUGAUGCUCUCUGCACUCUCCCUGUGGCUUCUACUUCCCCAGAUCCUCCAACAGAGGAACUGAGAGUGUACAAAGAAGGUCAGUAAGAGGAGAAAUGGUCAGAAAGGACAGGGAACAAGAGCAUGACUGCAUCAUGUGCCUCACAGAUGUGCCUGGGCUGACGGGAGCUGUGGUGAAGAAGAGGGUUGUGUGUGAUCAACAGCAGAAGAAGACCUUGACUACUGCAAGCCAGAGAGCUUGCUCCUGGAAGGAUCUUCCCAGAAAGGAGAGGAGCCAGGGCUACAGAGCAGGUACCCACUUCACUGGGCACCAGGAACACAUAACCACUUGAGUCCUGCUGCUUAAAAUUCAGAGUCCUGGGGAGAGCAGGUUAUUCCACCAGAGGAACACAGAGCACUGGGACCAGAGGAAGAUGACAAGACUGGGCUGCCGAGUAAUAAAUGUCGUCUUCCCCAGAGUAAUACAAGCUCCCCUAAACUGCAGUGGAUCUGUCAGCAGGGAUGAUGUAAUUCUGUGUCCAUGUUUUCCCUGGCCUAGAGAACUUGUCUGGAAUAUACUUUAUUAAAUAAUAAUACUAAUAAUACAGUAAAUAAGAAAUGAAAAAAUAGGAAUAAUAAUAAUAAAUACUAUUAUUAUUUGGGUUGAUAUUUUCAGGGCUUUUCUCUGGUUCCCAGAGUGGUUUUCCUUCAGUGUUCCCACACUUAUUUCAUGUUGGUAUUCAGUAUUAGUAUUUUCAUGUUAUGUUUGUAUACACACGUGUACAUUCAUCUGCAUGAGCUCCUUGGUGCUAUCUGCAUUUUUAGGUUGUUUUGACACUGCUUCCUUGGGAAUUGCCUUUGGCAUCUCUGGACUUUGUUCUUAAACAAACAAAUGAAGAGCUGAUCGGAUUUUCUUAUCCCAGAGUCUGAGCACUGGCCUGGGAGCCCCCCAGAUGCUAAAAAGCAUGAUGAAAUCUCUUGAAUAUAGCCUAACCCCUCUCAGCUAAGUUUUCCUGUUUGUGAAAUAAGCGUUCUAGUGUUUUACAUCUAAUUCCGAAAACUGCAAUUUUGUGUAAAAUUUAAGCUGUCUAGAACACAUGGGGGGAAAAUGUUGCUGGAAAUGCCUGUUAUGAUUCAUCGGUAGGACAAGUUGUAUAUAUCCAUUGUACAUUAAUGGUCUCCAAAUAUAUUUUGCUGUGUCUAUGAGUAUUUUAAUUAUGUCGAAUAAUGUUACAGUGAAACUUGUCCCUGAAAUAUAUAUUUGAUCCCCAAUUGAUUGGGUUUGGGGAAAAUAAAUAGACAU